GUGACUGCGUACCUUUUGUAUAAUGGGUCAGCGACUUAUAUUCUGUAGCAAGGUUAACCGAAUAGGGGAGCCGGAGGGAAACCGAGUCUUAAUUGGGCGUUAAGUUGCAGGGUAUAGACCCGAAACCCGGUGAUCUAGCCAUGGGCAGGUUGAAGGUUGGGUAACACUAACUGGAGGACCGAACCGACUAAUGUUGAAAAAUUAGCGGAUGACCUGUGGCUGGGGGUGAAAGGCCAAUCAAACCGGGAGAUAGCUGGUUCUCCCCGAAAGCUAUUUAGGUAGCGCCUCGUGAAUUCAUCUCCGGGGGUAGAGCACUGUUUCGGCUAGGGGGCCAUCCCGGCUUACCAACCCGAUGCAAACUGCGAAUACCGGAGAAUGUUAUCACGGGAGACACACGGCGGGUGCUAACGUCCGUCGUGAAGAGGGAAACAACCCAGACCGCCAGCUAAGGUCCCAAAGUCAUGGUUAAGUGGGAAACGAUGUGGGAAGGCCCAGACAGCCAGGAUGUUGGCUUAGAAGCAGCCAUCAUUUAAAGAAAGCGUAAUAGCUCACUGGUCGAGUCGGCCUGCGCGGAAGAUGUAACGGGGCUAAACCAUGCACCGAAGCUGCGGCAGCGACACUGUGUGUUGUUGGGUAGGGGAGCGUUCUGUAAGCCUGUGAAGGUGUGUCGUGAGGCAUGCUGGAGGUAUCAGAAGUGCGAAUGCUGACAUAAGUAACGAUAAAGCGGGUGAAAAGCCCGCUCGCCGGAAGACCAAGGGUUCCUGUCCAACGUUAAUCGGGGCAGGGUGAGUCGACCCCUAAGGCGAGGCCGAAAGGCGUAGUCGAUGGGAAACGGGUUAAUAUUCCCGUACUUGGUGUUACUGCGAAGGGGGGACGGAGAAGGCUAUGUUGGCCGGGCGACGGUUGUCCCGGUUUAAGCGUGUAGGUGUGUGUUCCAGGUAAAUCCGGUUCACUUUAACACUGAGGCGUGACGACGAGGCACUACGGUGCUGAAGCAACAAAUGCCCUGCUUCCAGGAAAAGCCUCUAAGCAUCAGGUAACAUCAAAUCGUACCCCAAACCGACACAGGUGGUCAGGUAGAGAAUACCAAGGCGCUUGAGAGAACUCGGGUGAAGGAACUAGGCAAAAUGGUGCCGUAACUUCGGGAGAAGGCACGCUGACACGUAGGUGAAGUGAUUUACUCAUGGAGCUGAAGUCAGUCGAAGAUACCAGCUGGCUGCAACUGUUUAUUAAAAACACAGCACUGUGCAAACACGAAAGUGGACGUAUACGGUGUGACGCCUGCCCGGUGCCGGAAGGUUAAUUGAUGGGGUCAGCGCAAGCGAAGCUCCUGAUCGAAGCCCCGGUAAACGGCGGCCGUAACUAUAACGGUCCUAAGGUAGCGAAAUUCCUUGUCGGGUAAGUUCCGACCUGCACGAAUGGCGUAAUGAUGGCCAGGCUGUCUCCACCCGAGACUCAGUGAAAUUGAACUCGCUGUGAAGAUGCAGUGUACCCGCGGCAAGACGGAAAGACCCCGUGAACCUUUACUAUAGCUUGACACUGAACAUUGAGCCUUGAUGUGUAGGAUAGGUGGGAGGCUUUGAAGUGUGGACGCCAGUCUGCAUGGAGCCGACCUUGAAAUACCACCCUUUAAUGUUUGAUGUUCUAACGUGGACCCGUUACCCGGGUUGCGGACAGUGUCUGGUGGGUAGUUUGACUGGGGCGGUCUCCUCCUAAAGAGUAACGGAGGAGCACGAAGGUUGGCUAAUCCUGGUCGGACAUCAGGAGGUUAGUGCAAUGGCAUAAGCCAGCUUGACUGCGAGCGUGACGGCGCGAGCAGGUGCGAAAGCAGGUCAUAGUGAUCCGGUGGUUCUGAAUGGAAGGGCCAUCGCUCAACGGAUAAAAGGUACUCCGGGGAUAACAGGCUGAUACCGCCCAAGAGUUCAUAUCGACGGCGGUGUUUGGCACCUCGAUGUCGGCUCAUCACAUCCUGGGGCUGAAGUAGGUCCCAAGGGUAUGGCUGUUCGCCAUUUAAAGUGGUACGCGAGCUGGGUUUAGAACGUCGUGAGACAGUUCGGUCCCUAUCUGCCGUGGGCGCUGGAGAACUGAGGGGGGCUGCUCCUAGUACGAGAGGACCGGAGUGGACGCAUCACUGGUGUUCGGGUUGUCAUGCCAAUGGCACUGCCCGGUAGCUAAAUGCGGAAGAGAUAAGUGCUGAAAGCAUCUAAGCACGAAACUUGCCCCGAGAUGAGUUCUCCCUGAGACUUAGAGUCUCCUGAAGGAACGUUGAAGACGACGACGUUGAUAGGCCGGGUGUGUAAGCGCAGCGAUGCGUUGAGCUAACCGGUACUAAUGAACCGUGAGGCUUAACCUUACAACGCCGAAG
rnacentral:rRNA from 4 species